UAGCUAACACCAAAAGGGAAGUAAAACAGGAGGUACCAACUCCCGAUAACAAAACCUGUGGCUGAUUUGUUGUGCUCGAUGUAGUUGUAUGCUCCUGCCCACUUCCUACCACCCUUGCUGACACUCGCCCAGGUUGCUCUCCUUAGCCAGUGCUCGCGCGCCCAACUUGUCUCCAAUACUCCGAGAAUUCCUGAAAACACAGAAAAUACCACGACCCAAAAAUCAGAAGGAGCUAUCGCCGCUACCACUUUUGCGGUGCAGUGAACUUAAGGCACAGGUCUCGGCUCAGCGAAUCGGCGAGCAAACACGAAAAGAUUUCUGCUCUUUUAUGCCUCAAGUCCGAACGGAACGAAAAAGAAAUUUGAAGAAAGCUUGGGUUUCAAAAUGUUUGCGACCAGUGGUAUUUGAGGGAAAGGAUGCAGCUGAAGUUUAAGGUUAAAGGAGGGAGUUCAAGAUUGUCUGAAAUAGCAUCCAAACGCCGGUAUUUAUAGGUGUAAAAUUAGGGUUCUUAGUUUUGGGCCAAAACUUUAUUUUUUCCUUAAAACUCCCCGGCCAAACAAGUUCACAUCACACCAAAACGGCGGAUCUCCCGAUCUAAAAAAUCAAAUCAGUCGCAAAUCACCCCAUUUUUUUCCCCAUCUCCACGCUACAUAGCCCUCCGCCCAGACCAAGAAGCACAGACGCCGGUCACCACCAUCUCGCCGAAAUUCGACAACGCCCUUCUGCCGAGAACUAAGCCAUCAACGAAUGAAUCCGUGAUUUGCUGCUGCUAUUACUCCCCUGUUGCUAGCUGAGCUCCAAUCCUCUUUUCAAGCCUUCAUUUGGUUUCAUUGCCUUCUAAAUCUCGGCCUUUGUUAAUUAGAACUGGUUCUUGCGCAACUAGCUAUUGGAAUCGUUUUGAGCUUCAUUCGAAUUUGUAUUUGCCUCGAUUUGGUUCGUUCAUUUCAGUUAUCUCAUUGUGUAAUUAUCGCUGUGGAAAUUGUUGCUGGAGUUACAUUUGCUGAUUCUACCAUAUUUGAGCUUAUUUCAGUGUUUCACUUUCAAUAGGUACACAAAAGGAUGAUCUUUUUUGGUCCAAUAUUUUCCUUUUGUACAAUUCUCUUCAAGUAUUGUGGAGCGAAAGCAAUUAGUUUUCAUAAUUUGAAUGUCGAAUCAAAGCAAUUAGUUUUUGAAGUCCUACUGGAAAAGGUGAAAUUUCACAUUGUGCUUUGUCAAUGAUAUUACAUAUACAGGAUCAUAAUGAUUUUGAUGCCAAUAGAAAUUGUCCCCUGCUUCACUAUACAGUCACAAGUGCAAAGUGGCAAGCUCUUUUGUCCACAUUCAAGAAAGUUGAGCUUUCAAUCAGUCAGCCUAAUUUUGCAAUAUAUAUUUUGUGCAAUCUUAUGUUUUUGCUGUUGGGCUGUUUGAUUUUCCUUUGCCUUUUUCUUGUAACUUGUUCUGAUUUACGUUGAAGAGCAUAUAUAGUAGAUGAAACAAUUGAGCGCUGUAUCACAUAUCCAUCCUAAACUAAAUAUAGUUGCUUAAUUAGCAGAGCUUCACUUCA